rnacentral:rRNA from 1 species
GGAAUCUUAGACAAUGGGCGAAAGCCUGAUCUAGCCGUGCCGCGUGAGUGACGAAGGCCUUAGGGUCGUAAAGCUCUUUCGCCAGGGAUGAUAAUGACAGUCCCUGGUAAAGAAACCCCGGCUAACCCCGUGCCAGCAGCCGCGGUAAUACGGAGGGGGUUAGCGUUGUUCGGAAUUACUGGGCGUAAAGCGCACGUAGGCGGGCCAUUAAGGCAGGGGUGAAAUCCCGGGGCUCAACCCCGGAACUGCCUCUGAUACUGGCGGUCUUGAGUUCGAGAGAGGUGAGUGGAAUUCCGAGUGUAGAGGUGAAAUUCGUAGAUAUUCGGAGGAACACCAGUGGCGAAGGCGGCUCACUGGCUCGAUACUGACGCUGAGGUGCGAAAGUGUGGGGAGCAAAC